GCCAUGGUGUGAGGGCAGGGACUGAGCCGGCCCGGCCCGGCCCGGCUCGGCGGCGGCAGCAGCACCAUGUCGGGCCCGAGCGCCGUGUCGGACCCGCAGCACCCGGCGCGGCUGCUGCGGGCGCUCAGCUCGUUCCGGGAGGAGACGCGGUUCUGCGACGCGCACCUGGUGCUGGAGGGCGAGGAGAUCCCGGUGCAGAAGAACAUCCUGGCGGCCGCCAGCCCCUACAUCAGAACAAAAUUGAAUUACAAUCCUCCAAAGGAUGAUGGCUCAACAUACAAGAUUGAACUUGAAGGAAUAUCUGUUGAUAUCAUGAAAGAGAUACUAGACUACAUCUUCAGUGGGCAGAUCAGGCUAAAUGAAGAAACUAUCCAAGAUGUGGUACAGGCAGCUGAUCUCCUGCUGCUUACAGACUUAAAAACUCUCUGCUGUGAGUUUUUAGAAGGUUGCAUAGCUGCUGAGAACUGUAUUGGUAUUCGGGACUUUGCACUGCACUAUUGUUUGCAUCAUGUUCACUACCUUGCCUCAGAGUAUCUGGAAACUCACUUUCGAGAUGUCAGCAGCACAGAGGAAUUCUUGGAACUGACUCCUCAAAAACUGAAAGAAGUGCUGUCGAUGGAAAAGCUCAAUGUUGGAAACGAAAGAUACGUCUUUGAAGCAGUGAUUAGGUGGAUUUCUCAUGAUUCAGAAUCCAGAAAGGUCCACAUGAAGGAUGUGAUGUCGGCAGUGUGGGUGUCGGGGCUGGACGCGGCGUAUCUGCGCGAGCAGAUGAUGAGCGAGCCGCUGGUGCGCGAGAUCGUCAAGGAGUGCAACAACAUCCCCCUGACACCCCCGCAGCAGGGAGAGGCCAUGCUGGCCUCCUUCAAGCCCCGGGGCUACUCCGAGUGCAUCGUGACUGUUGGGGGGGAAGAGAGAGUAUCACGGAAACCAACCUCAGUGAUGCGGUGUAUGUGUCCUCUUUAUGAUCCCAAUAGACAGCUCUGGAUUGAACUUGCUCCUAUGAGUAUUCCAAGGAUCAAUCAUGGAGUAUUGUCAGCAGAAGGAUUUUUAUUUGUGCUUGGUGGUCAGGAUGAAAACAAGGGAACGCUAAGCUCUGGAGAGAAAUAUGAUCCAGACACCAAUUCAUGGAGUUCCUUACCACCAAUGCAUGAGGCACGACAUAAUUUUGGUGUGGUAGAGAUUGAUGGGAUUCUGUAUAUUCUGGGAGGUGAGGAUGGUGAAAGGGAGCUGAUCUCUAUGGAGAGCUAUGAUAUUUAUAGCCGGACCUGGACCAAGCAGCCAGACUUGACCAUGGUUAGAAAGAUUGGCUGCUAUGCAGCUAUGAAGAAGAAAAUCUAUGCAAUGGGUGGAGGCUCCUAUGGAAAACUCUUUGAAUCUGUGGAGUGUUACGACCCCAGGACUCAGCAGUGGACAGCAAUCUGUCCUCUCAAAGAGAGGAGAUUUGGGGCAGUGGCCUGUGGAGUUGCCUCUGAGCUUUAUGUAUUUGGCGGGGUCAGGAGUCGUGACGACAGCCAAGCCAGUGAGAUGGUGACGUGCAAAUCAGAAUUUUAUCAUGAUGAGUUUAAAAGGUGGAUUUAUCUAAAUGACCAGAACUUAUGUAUCCCAACUAGCUCUUCUUUUGUGUAUGGAGCUGUGCCCAUCGGAGCCAGCAUAUACGUGAUUGGAGAUCUCGAUACAGGUACAAACUAUGACUAUGUUAGGGAAUUUAAGAGGAGCACGGGCACCUGGCAGCGCACCAAGCCGCUGUUCCCCUCGGACCUGCGCCGGACGGGCUGCGCGGCGCUGCGCAUCGCCAACUGCAAACUCUUCCGGCUGCAGCUGCAGCAGGGAUUGUUCCGCAUCCGCGUACCUUCUCCGUGAGCCCGUGCUGCCAGGGGACCAGACUGGAAGAGUUCUGUGCAGUCCACCAUAAUCUAGCUCUAUUUAAAGGAAAAGCUGAGAAAUUACAGCUGAAAAUUACACUGUAUGCUGUGCUUUGACAAAGUGCCAAGAUCCCAUAUUCAAAAGUGAUGAAUGUUCCUAAGUAUCUGUUUCACUUUGAGCUCAGUUUUCUAAGUGGCUUGGAAAACUUCAGAAAAUGUUAUUCAGAAUAUUGCAGCUGCUAUCUCCCGAGUCCCUGUAGCUUCCCAGUACACUUGAGGGCAUUCAGCAUCCAGAAAACGUAAGUGAUAAAUGCACAUGAUAAACCCAAGUAAAUACUCGAGCGGUGUUUUGCAGUUCAAGUUACUGAACCAAAUGUUUACACUUAGAGUAGGAUUAACACUAGGCGUUCUUAGUUUGUUUUUUUUUAAAGAAAACAUAAAUAAAAGAAACAAAUCUGCUGGUGAUUGGAGCAUGUUGCGAAUGCACUCAGUGAGAUUUGACCAAGAAGUUUAAGCCUCUGUACCUGAACCCGUCAUAAACUGAAUUUCUGAGCACAUUGUACUUGUGUCAUGUUCCACGUGGCUGGGGACCAAGUCUCCAGGGAUGCUCUCUGGGGUUUUGGGGUGUAUGCUCAAGAUUUAGGCACUCCUGAGAUCUCAAAACUGGCUUCCUUGGCCUUGCCUAAGGGGAUGGGACCAUUCCCCUUCUGCAUUGUCUGUGGGACUGAUCCAGGAGCUGUUCUAGCCUCUGUGUGUGCAGGAGGGAAGGGAUGUGCCUUCCUGUCUGUCUUUCUGCCCAGCUCUGAUCUGUGAGUGUAUCCCUUGGAUUGUGCAAUAACCAGGUUCAAUUUCCCUCAGAAUUUGGAGCAAGGCUUUGAAGCCAAGGCUCCCCUUUCUGCAGGGAUUGUACCAGUGGUGGUGUAGGGGUGAAGAGGCAGAGCUCACCUCUGGCUUCUCUUUCUCUUUUCCGAGGGGUGGUUGAUUUCAGAAGGGGAGGGAGGCUGUGAUGGUACCAGAGGUGCUGAGAGGAGGGAGGUCACCAGUUUGCUGAGUGUUGAAUGUGCAAACAGCUGUAGAUUGAACUGGGUUCCCUGGUAAAUGCCACCACUCAGCUGUCCCUGCUCUCUUGGCACUGUGUACCCCUGUGCAUGAUGGCUGAACCACAUGAGAAACAACUCAGGAGUUUUUCUGAGUUGCAGUCCAGGGGUUUUAGGUGGUUUGGCAGCUUAGAAACUUGUUUAAGUUGUCCUUGCUUAGCACAGUGGCCUUAAUUCCUCCAAGCUCAUUGUUGGCACUGACAUUCAGCCAGGUCCUCCACAGGUGACAGUUUGAAUGUGUGUCCUGGCCAGCUGUCCAUGCAGGAUGAGGACUGGCUGGGCCACCUUGAGCUUGAGGCACUUGGGCUGGCCCUCUGCAUCUGUUUUCCUUUCCCUGGUGAGGAAUUGGACCAACCCCAGGUACUGAAAUCAGAAAAUCACCAAAUACAGGGUAGGAAUUGUGGAAGAUGGGAUGAGUGGUGGCUUUUUUCUCCCCUUAAUCCAUCUCUUCCCACAAUUCUCCCAAGAAAAGUUUCUUCUUCCUUUUUUUCAUGUGCCACAGAUAAUUUUAGAAAAAUUCUGGAAUUGUCAAUUUUAGGGGAAAAGUGGGGGAAAAAUAUAUAUACUACUGUAAGCACACAGCAGUGUCCUCUGUGCUUGUUUUACACUUGUAGCCUUGUGGCUGCUCUGCACAGCAGAGGGAGAUUACAGAAGCAAAGGUGUAAAGUGCUGUUGCUCUCAUAACAUAAAUCCCUUGAGUUUCUGAGGGAGUCACAUGCCUGGCCUGGCUCUGUUCCUUACCUGGCCUUGACAGAUGCUUAUAUUCCUAAAGAGUCUGGGUUAGAUUUCAGAUCUCUCCCUUGCUGGUUUUAUAACUUGAAGAAGAGGCAUCCUGAAAAGUCUUCUGUUUUGCUGUACCAUAGCAAGGUCUAAUUGUCCUUAAAUAUUUUGUCAGCUAAUCCUUAAAUUUUAGUUAUUGUUAAAGUGUCAACCCACCUGCUUCUGGUCAAGUGAAUUUCUGUAGCUUUGAGGGUACUUCAUCUUUAAAUUGAAGGCAACUUAAUACAAAGUUACACAAGAGGACAGAGGUGAAUGUGAAACCAAAAGAAGCUCAAAAUCAGCUCACUGAUAGCUGUGGGCAGGCUGUGUCCCUGGUGUUUGCACAGCACGUGCCUGGCACACAGCCUGCCUUCAGGAGCAGAGAUCUUGAUAUGAAAAUAAGGCUUUUAUCAAAGCUACUGAACCGCCUGGCUUCUGAACUCCCCCUCCAGAACACACCAGGCAGCUUGGGUUGCUUUGCAAUAUUUCUGGUGCCUGCAUGUCUCAGUAAAUGCACAAGUACAGAAAGAGGGGUCUGGGGAGGUUUUCCCCUGUUUUAACUGCAGUUUCUCUGUUUGUUCCAUAAAUGCUGUGCAGGGGCUCUGCUACCAUGCAUGUGCCAUGCAGAGUGGAGGAUGCAAUAACAAAUCCAAAUUGUUACAAGUGCCAAACUUUUGGGUUCUUCUGUGUAUAACAAUAAUUCAACUGUUCUACUAAAAUACAGAUAUGCUUAAAAUUCACUGUGUUCCAAAAAAGAGCAGUGGGUCUUUUUUUUUUUUUUAAUGGAUGCUAUUGAAAGCAAUGUAAAUCUACUUUUUUUAAAUGCUGUUCUGCAGGUUUGUGUUACUCUUCACAGCUGCCUUGAGCAUCACUCCAUGUGAUGCAUAUGGACACUUUGCUCUUUACUAGAGCACUGGUGCCACGCAAGUAUAUAAUACAAGGCAGCUGACAACAGGCUUUAGUAUUUAAAAUUAUAACUGUUUAGAUUAAGUGCAAUUUGUUUGCAUUUAUCGACCUGCAGAAUGAAACUGUGCCUCGGGAAAUGUGGCUGUGCCCAGGGACACAGGCAGACUGACCAUUGUAACUAAGGUGUGGUUUGGUGCCACUCACAGCAAUGCUUUCCAAGGAAUUAUAUUUAAUUUAGUGUUAAAUGGAUCCUUUCUGCCUCUAAUUUAGCACUGAGGAUUUGGGGGUUGUGUUCUCUUUAGCUCUUUGGAGCACUUAAAUGGCUACUUCAGGUGGGUGGGAGGGGUGUUAAUUGCAUCCGUGUUUGUAGAAGCUGCUAUUUCCAUCUUCCCAAAGGAGUAUUUCCUUUUCCCGUUCAGGACUGAGUACAGGCCUGUGUUUCGGUCGUCACUGCUGCAGCCUUUUGACAUUUGCCAUUUUCUGAUGCUCUUCCUUGGUUUUUUUUGGAGCUGUGUUUCCAGGGCACAUGGUCUGUGAGAGAAAAGCACAGGGCUUGGGAAGGUGAGCCAGUAAAAUCGAAAGGCAGUGGGGUUUGGGGAAGCUGCUCAUUUUCUGUGGGGGUCACCUCUGUGUGCUCUGAAGUUCAUUAAUAAGUUUGGCAUCUGCUCUCCAUCAUCCCCAUGGGUUUUGGUGUGGGGGUUUUUUUCUCUUUUUUUUUUCCCUGGGAAAUUCCUUGCUGUAGGAAGGAUUGCAGGCAGGGUUUAAGGUGACACCUCUGACCAGCCAUGCCCAGUGUGACUCUGCAGUCUGACUGCUGCUGUGCUCCAGCAAUCAAUUCCCCCAAAAUUAUGAUUAACAUGUUACCUAAAAACAUAGACUAAAGCCAUUCAGUACCCAGCUAGAUAAACACCUGUUUAAAAGGAUUAAGGGUAAUAAGAGAAUUAAACUAUGAGCCACUACCAACAGGUGGUUAUGUUGAAAAUUUAUUGAUAAUAUCAAAUCUGAAUAAUAUUUUUAAUUACUUAUUCUAAGUACCUGCUUUUUAGUUAUAAAAGUAUUUGCAAUACAUAAAGGACUUGUAUAGAAUAAUAUUUGGAGGUUAUUUGAAAUAAUCUAUUGAAAUGUCUUGAAAAGUGAGAUGGAAGAUUGGAGCUUUUCAAUGGAAAAAGGCUAAAUCUUGAUGCCCAGCAGUUUUGCAGGGUUUCUGAGCAGAGAACACCUGCCAGAGCACUUUAGUCCAUGAAGCUGCUCAAUGCCACUGCCUACCUGUGCCCUUGAAUUUGCAUAAUGAAAUGAGACUGUUCUGAGCCCUGGUAAAAGCUGUCAGGUCUGAUUACAAUAAUAGAAAGAAGCAUCCCCUCUGUAAUUGGUGUUAUUUUAUUGAUAAAACAUUAAUUUAUUUUUUUGUUUUAAUACUGGGGGUUUUUGAAUUACCACCUUAGGCACUUAUUUAAAUUUUUUUUCUUAAUUUAUUUGACUUUCCUCCAUUUCUUUUGAGUUAAAGCUGAGACAACCUCAGUUUUUGUCGAGGUCAAGUUUCUUUCAUCUGUAGCUCUAAACCCUGUCAGAGCCUGACUGACCUCCUGCCACCAGCUGUGCACUUGUUUCUCAAGUGUCAUUUCUGUGCAUUCUGUUAUUGGGCUGCCAAUUUCAGAACAGAAAAAAAAAACCCUGUGGAACAAAUUUGUACCUGAUGAAAGCAAAAGCCAUUUUGGAAAGUUUAAAUUUCCAUCUGCAGUUUAAAUUUCAUCCAGUGUGCUACAAAAAACCUGAUCCUUGGCUGGGCUUGAGGUCCUCUCCUGAACGACCUCACAGGCAAAAGCUUUGGGUUUUAUUAAUCUGCUUUAUUAAUUUACACAUGAUAACAGGAAAGCAUUAUCAUCCCUGUCACUUGUUUCACUGUUUUUAUGUAGUAAAAAGCAAAGCCUGCUUAUUUAUUACAGUGAAUAAAGCAGUGCACAGGGGUAUCUGCUGAGGUGAUCAAGUUAAACACAGCUGACAUUCUGUAAAGCUCUUGCUAUCGUUUCUUUCUGAAGGGAAGCCAGGGGGUGCCCUCUUUAGAAAUGCCUUCAAACCCUUUCAGAGUUGGUCUUAAACUAGUCCAAAGGACUCCUUUGGGUUGCCUAGAGAACAUGAAGUCUGUUCUAGCUUUUGUUUGCUUGGGGAAACACCUGCUAAGUCAAUUUUAAGCUUUUUUUUUUUUGAAUCCUUGAUUUCCAAAACCUGAGUAGUUUGCUUCUUGCAAUUGAAACAUGUUAGUGUUUAAGGGUCUGCAUUUUGCAAUGCAUGGUGAGUGUUCUGUCCUAUCUUGGCUACAUGACGUAGACAGCAAGCUGUGUUCUGGGGGGCUCCUGGAAGCGCCUAUACAGUGCUGAGGGGUGGAGAAGGUUCAGUACAAAAUUCUCCUUACACUGCACAAGCCUUGCUGUGAGUGUCAGGUGGAACAAAAGGCUGAGCUUGGUACAGAACUCAUGGAAUUGCCACCACUGACUGCCCUCAGUGUUGGGGCCCCAAAGCCCAUCAGGGGCAGGUCCUGGGUGUUCCAUGCACAAUGUUUCCUCUGGCCUCAGGUGUUUUCUCUUUUGUUGUUAUUAACAGGAUUUCGCUUUCACUCUCCCUCUGAACACGCAGCCUGUGCCCGUGGGCCUGGGAGCACAACUCCUGUGGGCCAGAGGGUGGCCACCCAACUUGCUCCCCGUGGCUUUUGCACAUCUCUGCACAUCAGUGUGUGUGGGGACAGUGCUUAGUACACAAUGAAAUGACUUUCCAUGGAGCUUGUAAAACUGCUGCCAGCAGGUCACAGAUCACCUGAACCCCUGUAAGCAGAGCUGCAGGUAGAGCAGGUGUAGCCCAGUCCCUCAUGUGUGUCACUGUGGCUGGAAGCCUGGCGCCUUGUCCUGGGGGGAAAAGCCCCUAUGCCCAGCUACCUCAUUUUUACUUUCUUUGCACUUUGUCAGAUAUUUUUUGUUUUGUUUUGUUUUAAAUCGCAUUUUGUCCUUCAAUUAAAAAAAACCUAAAAGCAGACAAGAAGCAGGACAGAAUGGUAUCAUUGCCCAAGGACAGUUUAAUUUCAUUUUAAAUUAAUGUUUCUGUACAAAAAGACCAAGGUUGACCUGCAGCUGCUGUAAAAAGUAAAUAAAAAUUUCUAUUACUUGAUAGUAACUAUUAUACUUGGAAAUGAGAGUAGCAAUUAAAAGGCUGUCCUGAUGAUUUUUAAAUAGGAAGAGAUCUGUUUAAAAAAUAGAAGUCUCUGCUCUUUUAAGGCUAGAUCAGAUAGUUUUCUCUCUGCCUCUACUCUGCUCUCACUGUUUUGCCUGUGAACUUGAUACAUUAUCUCAAUAGAGAAAUUCACUGAUUUUUCUGUAAUGUCUAAUUAGAUAUUUUUUCUGUAGAGUUCCCCAUUUAAUCACCUGCAGAGGAAAAACUGUUCAAAUCAAUACCCACUUUCCAUACCUGAACUUGUCAUUGACCAUUUCUUUGUAAUCUUCAGGUAUAUGGAGCUUUGCUUAGAUUGAAAAAGUUUUUUAAAAGGUGUCUUUUCUUCUGCUUCUAAAGGUGCUAUUUUGACAUAGAUUUGAAUUCCUUACACUGUGCUUGACUUCUAAAAGUACCAAUAUAAGCUGGUAAUCAGCUUGUGUUUGUUCUGUGGAGUUUUUCUUUGAGUAUUCAAUCUCUAUUUUGAAAAGCAUCCCUUUUCAUAAAGAUGGCUUCCAAACUGUCAAAGGCCUUAAUAAUACAAAAUGUAAUGGGAAAAUGCUACUUUUUUCCUUUCUUUGUAAAGGCAAAGCCAAGAAAUGCUUCAUGGAGAACAUCUUCCUCUAAAAUUUUGAGGAGCAGCUUAUACUAACUUUGACUUCAAUGUAGCAAACAUUUUAGUGGCCAUGCACAAAUAGUAGGGGUGAAACAAGGAGCUAUUCAUAACUCUGCAGACUGUACCAAUUAGCUGCUAAUUCCAGAGCCUUCCAUUAGCAUCAUGGUGGCUAUUCCAUAAAUAUUAAUCUUCCCAGGACGUGGCUGUGUGUCUGGGACACACUGACCCAUGUGGCUGGCAGAUCAUUGGGAUGUUGGGCCUGGUGUGGGGUUUGUCUCAGACCCCUCCUGCUCAGCCCCCCAGGGUUUGGGUGCCACAGGUGCUCAGGAGGAAGGAGGAGAGAAGCUCCAAGUGCUGCCAUUGCAGUGACAUUGGGCACUCUGAGGAGAGGCUCUUGUAGACACAAGCCAUGGAGGAGAGAGCUGAAUUUUAGUCCUGCACAGGAACUUUGUUGUUGUCCUUUUUGUGCUGUCUUUAUUUUUGUUUGAUCUGUGUCAUCAGUUUGGUUUCGGCAUUUGGUAACACUGCUACAGGAAGCUUUUUUUUUCUCUGAAACACAUAAAGUCCUAUUCCUGCCCUGUCUGAAGCAGCAGGAAGGAUCAAGGGUUGAUGUUUGAAUUUGUCCCAUCUCAGACAGCAGGUUAUUUAUUGCCUUCUUGUAGGCUCUGCAGUCCCAGUGCUGUAGCAUUUCUCAGUUGUGUUACUCUAAGAGCCCUUUAGCCUUUUGAAAAGAGUCCAGAGACUGCCUUGUCCUUUUCCUGCUUCACAUAUUGGGUGCUGCCCUCUGGACCAUCCAAACUCAUCCAGGCUGUCACUGCAGAGGAGCCACCGGUUGGUGGCCUCACAGGAGUAUCUGUGUUACCUGCAGUACUUCUGAAAAACAGCUGAUAAAUGAGGGGCCAUGGAGAAACUCUACUGAACUUGCAAAUUCCUGAUCCUCUCAUUCUAGGGAAGGCUGAGGAGCAGCAUCGUUCCUUGCCUCGCAGCUGCUCCUUGCUGCACAGGUAAGGAUGAGUCCACACUGUCCUUAUGAUAUAAAGAUUUAUGGGCUAUUAUAGGAGAUCCACUAUUUUGCAUUUGUUGUAUUUAAAUCUGAAACUUCUGGAGCUAUGGAACUGUGGGUUCUGGAACUAUGUCUGCAGUGUGGAACCACAGGUGCUGGCCUAAAGAGCUGGGGAGCUUCUGGCCACCUGUUUUUCCACUGCACUUUUUCUUUUUUUGAGAAACCACAGAUGUGAAACUGCAUCCCAGUUCGUAUGCCCACUGCUUCACAAUCCAGAGUGGGACCCUGAUAAACUGGAAUUGUUUUACCUUCAGAAGGAAAAACUAAAAUUUCUUCACAUUAGAUGCUCUAUCUUCAGAGUUUUCCCUCGGUAAACCAUAUUUAUUGAGUCCCAUGAAUCUUGUGGGAUUGGGUUAAAGAAUAUGAAUAUGUAUUAUAAGAAUGAUAACUAGUGUAGUUAGUCUGACUUUGUGCAGUACAAAUAGUCUCUUAUAUCUUAAGAGAAUGAAACAGCUAUUGAAUAAUCCAAUUAUGAUAUCUGUAUUCCAUGAACCAAGUAAUAGGAGGGUGUUGGAAUGUGAUGUCACAUUGCUGCCACUCUCCUAAAGGUUCAAUGUUCUGUCAAAUCUAAGAUCUUGAUAAUUACCAGGAUAUUGUCAGAAUAUAUUGCCACCUUUUCUACAAGAGGCAUAUUGGUGUGGUGAGGGAAAAGCACUCACCUUUUCUUUACAGCUGGACAGCAAGGGUUACCCCCAUCAUCCAGCUGUCCUGCUCUGACUCCUGUAUUACAGAUGUGGUUACUGUUACAGGCUUUUUAUGUGAGUACAUGUUCUGUGGGUCCUGUGCUUUGUGUGGGAAUGGAGCUUUGGCUUUUAUAUGUCAUCCCCAAAAUCUUUAGAAAUUAACUGAUUAAUCACUCGGGGGCAGGGUUUGGAAUGCUCUGAUCGGAGUAUGUUGAGUUACUUCUGUUUAAAACAAGGAAAAAUAAGACAUAAAUGCUCUUUGACCUCAAUCAAACUAUGCAAUACAGCACACCAGAGAGCUGAAUUCCUUGUGAUACAGAAGUGCAGCUCCUGUGUCCUUCCAAACCCAGUCCUUGGUCCAAGGUUAGGAGAGCUUGUACUCAAUGGCUGCCCAAGAAUCUCGUAUCCAGAUCAACUCUAGUUCACUGCUUUUGCUCCUGCCCCCUUGCCUGGCCCAGCAGUUUAGCUGGGUCAGGUUGUUGGGUGUUUUGGCUCGGGAUGAUGUGAUCUCCAUGUGUGUCCCUCCUGUUGUCCCAUGGUGUUGUUGGCUGGAGCUUGUCCUGUAACCCCCCCAGUGCAGCUUUACCCUCUGGGGCCACUUCACCACGUUUGCACCUCCCUGCCCUAGAGCAUGUCAGGUUUGGGGUUUGCUGUGCCCCCUGGGUUGAUGUUGUCUUGCUUUCCCUGUGUCAGUCAGUUGUGAAUUUGGUGCUUACAGUGAAGAAUCCCUGUGAUGUCUCCAAUCAGUCCAAGUACGUUUUCAUUUCUGCUGCUUCUGUGUGAGUUUGGUUUUUUUGCUUCUGUGGCAAUUCAGCGAUAAAUGCCCAUGUGGUCAGGACUGCUGGUAAAGGUUCUUUGUUCUCCCAUUGCUUCAUUUUUCAAAUGAAAUUUGUUCCUUGUGUUCCUCUUCUUCCCCCUGUUAAAAAACGGGUACAGUUUUUGCUGGUUCUGUCUCCUGUGAGGAGCUCUCCUCUCCCAGGUGAUCCUGAAUUCUUCAGUUACUUAACCCACCCUGGACCUCAUACAGUUUCUGCCUCCUAACUCCCUUUACUAUUUUGUCUAUCUUUAAUUCAGAUUGACCUCAAUUUCUUUCUCUGAUUCCAAACAGAGAUUUUGGUGCAUAGCCUGGGAGACAAGCAGGAAAGCUCUCUCUGUGUACAUCCAUUCCCUCCCCAGCACAUGCAGUGUAAGGGGCUCAGCCUGUUCCAUUCCUUCCCCCAGGUUUUUCCUAGUGCUAAGCAGACCACAGGCUGAAGCCAUUUCUUAUUUCUUUUGGUAACUGAAAAUACUAGGAGAUUUUCUUCUUCAGAAAUAGCCACUGCAGAUGAGCAGCUGGCAUGAGAGAGGGUUGUUAUGCUUCCAUAUUCAGUAUUUUUAAUUGAGGAACAAAUAAUUUAUUUUGGGGAAAAUGUAAAUUUUUUUGUAUUUGUACGUCAAAGUGGCCUUUAUAGAAAAGCACAUAAAAAUAUUUAGAUUAAAAUUGCUUAGUUGUGUAAUUUCAGUGGGGAUUUUUGUAUUGACAGGGUUUCUAUGCAUUUUUCAAAAUAUACUUGCUGUUUUGUGUUAGAAUUAUUGGAAAUCUUUUAAAAAACAUGUAUUACCACAUUUUCCAUAGUUGAUCCCUUUACUAUCAUUCCUUUUGAAUACUAAAAAGAUUUUAAUUAACCCUGUAAAUUAAUUUUCCCCACAAAUAUUUGCAUUAAGUCAAUAUAAUGAGUUAUAGCAUGGGUAUGUAGCUUUAAGGGAAUAAGCCUAGUAGUGCAGCUUAAUUCUGGAGAGAUGUGUUUGCAGAAGGAUGGUACAGCAGCGUUUCAAUUGCACUUAAAACACUAAAUUAGGAAAUUAAGUUUUUGCUGUACCUCACUAGGGUUUUAUUAAACCAUGUCCAUCCUGUAUUGUUUACACUUGAGCAUUAUUUAACUGUGUAUUAUUUGUGCAGUUUGCAGUUCUCUGUUCUGUCAGGAUUAUGUGAACAUUAACAGGUAGGAAAAGUUUUGGAGUGUGUGGUGUCCUCGUGGGUUUGAUGUGAGUUUGGGGAGGGAGGAGAGAGGAAAGUUAGAUCCAUUAGUGUAUUUUUCCAUUUAAUUAUGUACACAUUUUCACAUUAGAUGAGGCUGAAUAACCGAAGUUACAAUUGAACUGUGAGUAAAAUCAGUGGUUUGGGGGUGGGGGAAAUGAAGGGGUUGCAGAACUUCAGGCAAAAACCCUUCAGUUGCACUGUGGUACAACUGCCCUGACUGCCUGUGCAAAGCAGAGCCCGAGGGGACACAUCAGACCCAUCCAUUUUUCUGGUUUUACUUUCUCUUCUCAAGGUGUUGCUGCAAGGUUUGCUAAGUAGGACCUUCCCAGGAAUGUCUAUCAACUGAGACUUGAGUUUUAUCAUUUUAUGUUUGUAGUUUUAAUUUUCGUUCUUGUUUCUGUUUCAUAGGAGAUCCCACAUGUUCACAGGUUAGUGUAAGUGCAGGCUUUCAGGUGUAGCACCAAAUGAGCGUUUCAUGCAACCAUGCAUUCUGUAAUUAAAGAAAAAUGUGCAAUUCUAAUGGCACUUUGACCCAUUGCUGAAACACUGGGUUUUGCAAUUGAACAAACUCAAAAAUUGAAAACACUCUGUGUCUUCAUUAGAUGUCUUGAAGGUGAAGCAAAAGGCAGUUACUCCAGUUGUACCCAUGAUAAUUUCGUAUAUUUUUUUAAUAUAGUUUUAUGGUCUGUUUUUAGAAAAACACUCAUUUCUUAGUUUACUUUAGUUGCCAUAAAUUGCCCAGUGCAGAGUCUGGUCCACCUCCAUUCACUUAUUUUCAUGGAAUAGUUGCACAAAAACUGAUAACAGCAAAGUAGGAAAGCUCUUUGGUUACUCACCAGUAGCUUCCCUUGCAGAAUUGCUUUGUGGCUCACACAUGGUAUGAAAAGGGACACGGGAAUUUUCCUGGAUUCAGUAGCACUCGCUUUGUUUACGUGUUCAGUAGAACAUUGGGUGACUAAAGGGAGGCUCCCUUUUUAAAGUAUUUGACUUGUGCUUUGAGGACUUAGUUGCCACUGUGCAAAUUGUGCUGUAAUAUUGUACCAAGGAUCAGUGAAAGUGUUUUAUCUUUUUUAAUGUCGUUUGUAUUUGACCGGGUUUUAUAAAUGUAAGAAAACAGAGUGUUGUAUUUUGAUCUGAAAUUUGCGUAUGGUAAAAGUAACUUUGCUUUAUGUAUUGGAGGUUUGUUCAGAACUUGAAUCAUUUUAUAGAAGGGUACAGACCAAAAUUAAUUGUCUUAAAGGUGUUUAAUAAAUUAACCAAAUAAAACAUUGAUUGUUUGAAAACUUG